AAUUUAUUUCUUCAUUCCAAAAAGAAAAAAAAACCCCAUCCCCAUCAAAACCUGUCUAAUUUCAUGGGGUUUCAACCAAGAGGUGCAUAUUUUGUAGGUUUCGACUCCUAGCUUUUUUUUUCCACAAAGGUUUUUGGCCCAAAUAUUUUCAUUGCUCACUUGUUUUUUGUGUCAUCAUCAGCUUUAAAGCCUUCUACACCCUAGCACAAGGACACAUGAUUUUCAGUCUUUUGGAAUGAUGAUGUGGCCAAUAGAAACUUUAAAACAAUAAGGUACACCCUGGAUUGACCAUGACAAUCAAGAUUUGUUGGUUACCUUUUAGUUGAGCUUUGCGAGCCCAUUGCAUUAAAAAAGGCUAUCAUACAAGAUUGAAGAUUGUAAUACACACAGGAGAACUAACUUGCAGUUUUUGAAAAACAAGUACUAGGCAACAUAACAACCUCUCCUGUUGAGAUUUAUAUCCUGGGGUAGAAUAGGAGACGAGCCUUUGGCCCUGUCAGCUUCUAAUUUUUAUUUCCCUUCUUCUAUACUUUGGUCGAAACUUAGAUGCAAUGAUUCCUUUAUUUAACUGACAAAAGGUUUCGAGGCUAUAUUGGAAGUAGUUCACCGUUUGUUCCAUUGGUGCAUCUCAAUAUUGUAUCAGAUCGUUAUCACAUUACUCAAAUCUAAAGCCUUCUGAAGUCCCUACCAAACGCAAACAAAUGAUAUCCACACCACAUCAUGAGGCCCAUACAGAACUACCAUAAGUGAGACCAGUGAUAGUCCAAUCACUUCUUGGUGGAAUAAUAUGGUGGGGUGUUGCAUUGAAUUAUGUAAUAGCGUUUUAAGGCCAUGGUAACAGCUUUAAACCCCAGACAGCCAAAACAGAAUAUUCAUGAAUUAUCCAAUGUUGAGACAAAGUAAUAGUAAAUAAAAAAGAGACAUUGGAGCAAAGAAUCACAAGAAAGCUCCUACUUAAUCCAUUAUAUUUCUCCAGUAAUCCAAAUGAGAGUUUUCAUUCAUUGAAGGGCUAGAAAAUUCUAUCGAUGUGACAACUCAUGAUUAUUUGUGACUGGCAAUUUCAUACAUGACAGAAUGUAUGGCUGGCAGUGGUUCAUUUGGUGUCGUCUUCCAGGUAUGGAUAAUUGGUUGGUUCAUGACUAUGGAGGACAUUUUUUUUUGGCAUGUUGUAUUCCUCUUUUUUACUUUUGUGACAUUCACUAUUUUUAUUUUUUAUUGCAGGCAAAGUGUCUGGAAACAUGCCAAGUAGUUGCGAUAAAUAAGAUGGUGCAACACUAGACCUCUUCCAGGUGCCUCACGCUUGAUUAAACAUUUUAAUGGUCAUGGAUUGCCAAUGGCAUUGCAUUCAAACUCUCCAUGGGCGAGUACCUGAUCAGAUAAGUAAUUUCAUAGUAUAACUAUAUUAGUGUUUGAGUUAAUAAGUUCAUGGUGCUGCUAAAAGAUACAUGCUUCAGAGACAUUGUGGUUUAUGUUUGAUAUCAUUGAACUUAUAAGCUUCUAAGCUUCUAUUUGUAGGCUGGAAAGAAUCCUUUUCUGUUGUCAGUGGCAGUGAUGAAGUGAUAAUGGGGAAGCCAUCUCCUUGCUGCCACUAAUUUUGCAUGAACUUCCCCUCUUUUUUAAAACUAAAUAUUUGAAUUUCACUAUGCUAUUUGUUGAUAUAUUAUGAAUUAACUCAAGAUUGAUAUUCCGUGGUAUAUAUAAACAGGUGUUUGGAUGAAGCAGAGGAAAUCAUCCCUACCCAUGGCUCCGUGAAUCUCUCCGAUACUCAUCACAUCUGACGGAAUUUAAUUAUGGUGCUUGUCGUAAUUCUGAUCAAUGAAUUGUUUCUCCUCAUGCAGCCUCCAUCGUAACGAUUCUUCCCAGUUCAAGCCAUAAUCAAGAGUGGAAUAAGUCUUGACUAAUGUAUCCUGAACCUCAAGGCCCAUCGCAUGCAGUUUUUUUAUAAUUUAUGACAGUGAUUUAUAGACACAGUACUACAAGUUGAUGGAUUUUUAGCAUAAUACACAGUUCGUGUGCUGUGAAUGCUUGUUUUCCUCCAUUAUACAGUAGGAUCCAAACACGAUUUUUAGGGU